rnacentral:antisense_RNA from 1 species
GCCUUUGGGGGCGGGAGCAGAGAGACAAGGAAAUGCUGUCACCGCUGUUAACACGCACGUGGAGGUUGGUUAAAGGGAAGACCUGGGUUUUAGUCCUGUCUCCAUCAACCUCAAGAAAUGGGACCUCAUGGAAGGGAGGGGAGGCAAUGCCGAGGAUGUGCUCCUGAGCAGGUGCCACAAUUCUUCACCUGUAAGAUUGCUGACAGAAAAGUGAGACCUCCUCCACCCCAAGGUCUCCUAAGAGAAUGCUGCUAGCCAAAAAAAGAUCUGCUGAUAAUUGAGGAAGAGCAUCUUUAAAAAGACACUCAACUACAUUUCAGAAACAUAAAGAUCUAAGUGUUGGCUCUACAAGGGAAGAAAUAAAGAGAAAGAACUUUUUUUCCUCCUACAACAGGUCUAGACAACGUCAUACAAGGAGUUGCACGCAUAUUCAAAACAAAAGCAAGGCAAAAACAAGCAAAAAAGCAACAAAUGCAUUCCAAAAUGAUGUCCAUUUAUCAGCCCAGAAAUGUACUGGAUACUGGUUUAGUUCAGCCUGUAGGUGCUGGGAAGAAAUUCCGACAAAUCCAAGUCAGUAGCAAAAAGGGAAAACUCCAGACAUAUCACCCAAUGAACUUGUAAGAAAGCAUAUGAGCUUCCCUGAACAGAUUUUACUCCAGGUUUGCAGCCCGCAAGGUUUAAGAUCGGGCCAUGAGGUUAAAUCUUAUAAACUCAGAAGUGUUCACGCUACUGCAUCCCUAAACUCUGUAAUUCUCUACAUACCCUUUAAAGCAGUGUUUCUCUGCAUCUUUCAUUCCAUAGCCAUUGUCCACCUGAUCCAAAAUAUCCUAAAUUUUUCAGUGUUUGGAAGCAGGGUUUCCAAUUUUUGUGUAUACAGAAAAGGGGGGGGGGUGUGUGAAAAAAUAAGUAUUAGAAAAAAAACAUGUUAUACAUAUCUAUCACAGAAAUGAGUGGGCAAGGUUUAGAAGAUGGCUGAAACAAAGCCAAUACUAAGGUCUACUGGUUGGCUGCAACAAGUUUAAAAUGUCUUCAUAAGGGCCCUGGUUGGGCAAUACUAUACUUGCUGACAGUACUUGGGAUCUGCCACAGACCUAUAGCAAAGGACUGUUCAACUUCUCCAAAAAGCUGGUAUUAACCACCAGAAGAAAUAAGAAGUUCAAGGCCAAAAUAUCCAAAUGAACCAACCACUCUACUUGCUGAAAUGCCAUAAAGCUUCUUUACCCCAGA